rnacentral:rRNA from 1 species
GAUGAACGCUAGCGGCAGGCCUAACACAUGCAAGUCGAGGGGUAACUAGAGUGAUAGCAAUAUUACUUUGGCUAGACCGGCGCACGGGUGCGUAACACGUAUGCAACCUACCUUAUACUGGGGAAUAACUUCGAGAAAUCGGCGCUAAUACCCCAUAACAUUGCGAAGAGGCAUCUCUUUGCAAUUAAAGCUCCGGCGGUAUAAGAUGGGCAUGCGUCCAAUUAGCUAGUUGGUGAGGUAACGGCUCACCAAGGCUACGAUUGGUAGGGGUUCUGAGAGGAUGAUCCCCCAGACUGGUACUGAGACACGGACCAGACACCUACGGGAGGCAGCAGUGAGGAAAAUUGCGCAAUGGACGAAAGUCUGACGCAGCCAUGCCGCGUGCAGGAUGACGGCCCUAUGGGUUGUAAACUGCUUUUGUACGGGAAUAAACCCUUCUACGUGUAGGAGGCUGAAGGUACCGUAAGAAUAAGCACCGGCUAACUCCGUGCCAGCCGCCGCAGUAACAC